CCUCCGCGCGCUCCGGCCCUCUCGCAAGCCGCCAAAGCCUUCCUGGUUUCUCGUUACUUUCCUUCCCCGGCAAAGAGGGAGCCGGCUUCACGCGGAGAGUUUUUCUACGAGGAGACAUUUAAAAACGUCUCGCACACGCGAAUGAUCUUUUAGGGGGUGAAGGAGUCUUGGUGUGAAAAGCAGUGCUCCCUCCGAGUGGAGGACCUCCCUGGUGGAAGUCGGGGGAAGGAAGACAAGCCAUCUGGACUUUGCGGAGGUAGCGGAGGUGGGGCGGAUCCAUUCCCCCUUCGGCUGGAGGCCAGGUCUCGUCGGCAGCCGGCCACCCCCCCCCCCCACCUCUGCACAACAAAGCUCUCGGAGGAGAGAGCACCCUAAAUUCCCUUCCCAGUCAGUCGAUCUCGGACCUGGGGAACCUCCCUCCCCCACUGCCGCGGCAGCCUAGCCCGACAUUCGCCCUGCCGGCCGAAGGACGAAUUCCCGGGACCUCUCGCAGUUACCUGCCCCACAACCCCGGCCCGCUCACCGUCUGCCAGGAAUUAAAGAAACGAGGCGCGGCGCGACCCCCACCGUGUGCGGGCGGAGUAACCGUAGCGAGGACAGAGCCGCACACUCCUUUCACGGCUUUCCUCCACAGCCCAGCGAAGAGCCCCCGGAGCCCGCCCGGGGGUCCAAGCCAGGUCUAGGGCCACACAGGUAGCAGGGGACCAGCCGCCAAGCGCCCGGCCCGCCCCCGCCCUCGCCCGCCAAGUCCUG
rnacentral:lncRNA from 1 species